rnacentral:SRP_RNA from 1 species
GUCAGGAGUGAUGGUGCACACCUUUAGUCCCAGGUACCAAGAUGCUGAGGCUGGUGGAUCACUUGAGCUCAAGAGUUCUAAGCUGCAAUGGACAAAGUUGAUUGGGUGUCUGUACUACGAUAAGCAUUAAUAUGGUGAAUUCCCAGGAGCAAAAGGCCACCAGGCUGCCUAAGGAGGGGAACACUGGCCCAGGUUGGAAACAGAGCAUGUCAAAGCUCCCAAGCUUAUUAAAAUAGGACUAGGCCUGUAAGUAUCCUCUAUUCUUCCAGCCUGGAUGAGAUUGGGUAAAGCCAGUCUUUA